UACCCGGUACCCGGCCCCGGCCCGGCCGCUCCGCCCGGUACCCGGUACCCGGCCCCGGCCCGGCCCCGGCUGCCCCGCCACGCUGCUCUGCCGGGCGGAAGCUGCGGCUGCUCCGCUCCCCGUGUCCGCCCCGGCGGGGCUACGGGCGCUGUGCCGGCCGCACCGCCCGGGACACGCGACCGGGAGCGGAGCCAGGGCGGCUCUCACGGGGCAGCCGGAGGAGCCCGGGCUGCGCGGGGCUGCGGGAGCCCCUGGUCCUGGCGUGGGCGCGAGCCGCCGCGCUCGGUCCCGGUCCCGGUCCUGCCGUCCCGGCGCUCCGCGCCUGCCGAGCCCCGGAGCUGCUGCUUCUGUGAGCAGCUGGGAGCUGGACUGGCGGUGGCACGCGUUACCAAACCCGACGUGACUGCCUGUUCGGACACGACCUGUCUGCACCUGGAACACCUGCCCGAGUGGAUUCCUUACACCUGUGUCACACGCUUGUCACACUUCUUCCUGAUCUCUCCCGUAGGACUUGGCGCUGUCGAACCUCUCCAAGGAAUCUGCACACACAGCUCGGAGAAUCUUUUUAAAAGAGAGAAAAGCGUCUUGCACAAACCCAGCCAGGUUUGGAUUCCCCUCGGGAGAGCAGGCGGAAAGAGCAUGUUGAGGUGCAGCCAGCUGUAUCGGUGGCUCACCUGGUGUCGGUGCCGAGAACUCCCCACAGCACUGCGGGAUCACUGCCCUGGCUUCCUGGGGUGGCCGCAGCCCUUGGCUCGGAGAGCCAGGCCCUAGAGCAGAGGGCCAGCAGGCACGGCCAGGUGCCUCAAGGUGAGCUGUGCUCGCUCUAAACUCAUCAGUCCCUGGACAGGUGCAUUUUAAUUUGUGUCUGAAGUGGAAAUAGUUUUUAGGGAGAACUCUAGAACCACAGCAGAUGCUCCUGGUGGGCUGGAGAGCAGCCAAGGGCUGCAGGGCACCUGCCAGGUGCUGUAGCCUGGCUGGGGCUAAGCUCAGCAUGCAGGUCCAUCUGCUGUGAGCUCUGUCUGGAUGUGCUUCACCCUCCUUUCAAGUCUGGGGGCUUGAGAGGGGUCAGCUCUGUUCAGAGAACCAGGCAGGCCUCAAUUAUCUCUUCUGAAUGUCUUGAGGAACUGUCACACUUUUACUUGGCAAGUCGGGUCAGCUGCCUUGGGAAGAAAACCUGAAACCUGAGGGAAUCCUGAAAUGAAUGUCACGUGUCUACUCAAUGACCUGAACUGGAAACACCUCCCUUCUUGGCAGUGCCAGCUGAGGUAUUCCUUAUCCUAAAGUCAGUUUCAGUCAGAAAAGACACAAGGUGAUGGGUUCAUUUUGUUUGGGUUUUUUUGAAGUGAAAUCUAACAAGAGUUUGCCAUUUCUUCAGAACUGAGUGUUCUGGACAGACCUAAUGAUAACGUGUGUUAACUUAUCUAAUGCGGAUUAUAGGUAACACCGGAGUAAUUAAUUAAUCCUGCUAUAUUCAAAGACACAUUUUGGAGUUUUGCUUUAUGCAAAAAUCCUCUUAUGUUCCAGCGGUCAGUAAGAAAACUACUUUCCACUACAAAUUUUGCUGAAUUACAGAAAAAUUAAUCAAAUCCUUAGAAAUUCUUGCUUGAUGAAUCCUGAUGAAAGCACAGGUGGCAACAAGUGUUGGAACCAUGGCUUGACUUUGACCCUGCUUAUGCAGGAGGCAGUUAGUUCACCAGGCUGAUGCUGCCAGAGUUCUGCCAGAGCACAGUGUAAGUGAGACCAGAUGAGAAUCUUUCAUUGUUGGUAUUCAGUGCCUAGAGAGUAGGCAUUCCUUGGGAGGUUUUUUCCAUGGUUACUUCCAAGUUCUUGCAGCCAAACUGAGCUUCCAGUCACUGAGGCAACACUUGUUCUUGUGCACUUUUCUGAGGGCUGCUGCCAGGUGCUGGUGACGGCUGCUUAGGGCUUGGACACAACUUCAGAGCUCUCCCAGGAGGAACAGUCAGGACUGGUUUUCCUCCUUUGGUAUUGUAUUUAUUCACACCAAGUCUCACCUGUCCCUCUACCUGCCAUUUUCCAGCAUUGUGAGGCUUCCCCUGGCAGUGUCACCCUGUGGCUCACUGCCUCCUCCAAACGGCACAGGGACGAGGUUUGGCACAGCCCUGCGGGAACUGCUGGUUGCUGUCAGUGAUUCAAGCAGAACGUUCCCAUGGCAGAGGGGGGAGCUGCAGGCAGAGUCAGCUGUGGUGACCAACAUGGUGGCAGGGAGGUGGCAGGGGCAAGGACUCCCCCAGGAGAGCCAGCCCAUGCCAGGGGAUCCCAGCUGAUCCAGCACGGCCGAGCACGCGGCGUAACCGCGGAGCAGCUGCCGUGCACUCGUGUGUUAGCACAGCUCCUCAGUGUAGGUUUUGCAAAAUAUUUAUUGCAAAAUAAAAGAAAUAUGGCAACAGAAUUUAAAUACCAAAUGACAAGACACUGGCCAUAAAGCUCUUGCUAUAUUAUGAAUCUUUUACAAUAAUCAAUAGUAGAAUGUGUCCCAGGGCAGCUGCACGUGGACAGCCCUGUGUCUCUGGCUCCAGCCACCCGCAGUCUGUGGGACUUGUGCCUCCUGCUUGCACCUGUACCUGGCCUGAUUCCCCUAAAGUACACAGGAGCCAGCAAUUCCACGUGAACUGUACCAUGCCAUACCCCAGCCCCUUCUCUCCUUUUUCCGGUUGAAGCCACCACCACAGCUGACCCAGUGCCCUUCCCUUCCAUAACGUAGCAGGGAAUGGAGAAACAUUGUUUUAGUACCUACUGUCCCCCCCAUGGCUUCUGUGAGAAGUUCCUUGGAUUUCCUUCCUUUCUCACCUACUAGGAAAGCAGCCAGGGAUCAUGUUAGUAAUGCUAAAGCCUGAAAGAAUUAAAUCUGGCCAGGGGCAUCAAGGGCAACAAGCAAAGCAACCUCCAUAGGUACACCGGUGAUAGAAGGAAGACUUGGGAGAAUGUGGACCCUCUAAGGAAGGAAAUGGGAGCCCCAGUUCCCUGGGACGUGGCGAGGGCUGAGGUGCUCAGCCAUGUUUCUGACUCAGCCUUCGUGGCAAGCUGCUCCAGCUGCCCUGCCCAAGUUGCAGGAGGCAAAGGCAGAGAGUGGGAGAACAAAGAAGUGCCCGCAGCAGGAGAGGACUGGGGUCGAGGAGGCUGAAGGGACCUGAAGAUGCACAAGUCCAUGGGACCUGACGAGAUGCACCCGCAGGUUCAGAGGGACUGGUGGAGGAAGUGGCUUGGCCACUAUCAUCCAUCAUGUUUGAGAAGUUGAGGCAGUCCAGAGGAGUUCCCACUGACUCUGAAAGGGGAAACAUAACCUUCUUUUCUUAGAAAGAGGAAUAAGGAAGAUCCAGAGAGCUACAGGUGGUCAGGUCUCACCUCAAUGCCUGGAAAGAGCUUGGAGCAGAUCCUCCUGGAAGCUAUGCUAAGGCACAUGGAAAAUAAGGAGGUGAUCGGUGAUAGCCAACAUGGCUUCACUAAGGGCAAAUCAUGAGAACUCGGAGCUCCUUCCAGCGCCUAAAGGUGCUACAAGAGAGCUGGAGAGGGACUCUGGACAAGGGCCUGGAGUGACAGGACAAGGGGGACUGACUUCCCACUGCCAGUGGAUAGGGUGAGAUGGGAUAUUGGGAAGGAAUUGUUCCCUGGGAGGGUGGGCAGGCCCUGGCACAGGGUGCCCAGAGCAGCUGGGGCUGCCCCUGGAUCCCUGGCAGUGCCCCAGGCCAGGCUGGACACUGGGGCUGGGUGCAGCCUGGGACAGUGGGAGGUGCCCCUGCCAUGGCAGGAGGAUUGGAACAGAUGAUAGUCUCUUCCAAAGCAAACCCUCUUGUGAUACUAAAGCCUUUUAUUAAAGCUCACCAGCAUCAGAGGGAGUCUGUACUGCUGAUGAAAGGGCUUAUAGGUGUGCUCCAAACAGGAGCCUCUUAAGCCAUAUAUCCAAUGGAAGCACUCUUUACAUAAAAUAUAAUUAAAUUAUAAAAGGUAACUGUGUGUGUGUAAUCUUCCUAAGGCACCCAAGAAUUUUAAAAGACCUUGUCCUGCUCACAUUACUUACAGCACACUCUUGUUCCUCUUCUGCCCAAAGUGACAACUGUUGGCUAGUCAGAAACCUUAGCAUACAAGAUGACAUAGCUGAACAGCGUAAAAAACAGGAACCAAAACCAAACCCCAGUGAAGCACUACAUCCAGACAGCUCGAGUCUGCUAGCAGUGCAUCACGGGCAACACAUGGAAAUUGUCACGUUGAUGCCGAGGUUUCCGUUGUCAGCGAAGAGGAGCGCAGUGGCUGUAUCAAAAAUGAGGCAGUUGCUGUUGCGGAUGGCCACGUGCACGCCGUCGUGGAUGGAGCAGGGAGACGCCUCCCAGGUCAGCCGGUGGCAGCUGCCGUGCAGCUCCAGUCUGUACUGAAAGUUCUCUGCCUGCUUACGGGUGCCAAUGAGCAGCACGGUGGCAAAAAACUGCUGGUGACCUUCGCACUUCUCCUGUUUCUUCAGCACCAGCAUGAAGUGGUGACCAAAGCACGACUGCAUCAUCACCCAGUCCACUGCCCCUGGCAGGUUAAUGUCUGUGGCAAGGAAAAUGAUGUCUUCUCCCUGAAGGGUGGUAAUGCUUUUGUGGGCAUGCAUGAGGUGGGACAUCACGGCUUCCAAGGAUCCCUCCCAGUCGCAGGAGGUACCGGGGCACGGGCAGGAGUAGGGACGGUACUCACAGAUGGCUUCAUGUUUUGGCUUUUCUGUGUGGUGGAGGGUCAGGGAGCAGCCUGUUGUGGCAUACUGGAAAGAGACCAAACACAAGCCAUCAGGAAAGGCACCAGCACUAGUAUGCACUGCUCCCACCCGUCAGCUGCAAACACAGGUGAUCAACCAGAGCUCUCGUGCUCAUUGCAAAUUUUACAUUACUUGUAUGGAGCCCUGGAUUCAAGCUGAGUUUUACUUAGUUUCUGUUUCCAUUUAAAAUGGAUUCUUCUUGUC